rnacentral:rRNA from 1 species
AUUCCAGCUCCAAUAGCGUAUAUUAAUGUUGUUGCAGUUAAAAAGCUCGUAGUUGGAUUUCUGGUUGGACCGCGAUGCCGGACUCGCAAGGGUUCGUGAUUGUUGUGGUUUCCUUCCAUCCUCAGGUUUGCGCGUGCUGGCCUUAACUGGUCGGUGGGUGUGGUCCUGUCGUUUACUGUGAACAAAUUAGAGUGUUCAAAGCAAGGUGUACUUGAAUACAUUAGCAUGGAAUAAUAAGAUAGGACUUUGGUGGUUCUCUUUGAUAUUUUGUUGGUUUGCACGCCAAAGUAAUGAUUAAUAGGGACAGUCAGGGGCACUCGUAUUCCGCCGAGAGAGGUGAAAUUCUCAGACCAGCGGAAGACGAACCACUGCGAAAGCAUUUGCCAGGGAUGUUUUCAUCA